CACAGAUGGAUGUGAGGAAUUGUGGCUGUAAGAGCCUGGUGGAGCCUGAAAAGGAAUCGACAAUUCCUACUGUCAUUUUAGGGGGCUCUUUCCUCCUCCCAGCACAGCCUUGGCAGAGAGAAGCCCAAGUUCUGAAGGAGUGUCCCAGAGACCCGUGACUCCUCUCGCAGUCAGCAGGUUCAGCCAGUGUCUGUGCAGACCCUGUGUCUCUACAAGAAAUUGCAUUUUCCUGUGACACAAUCCUGAUGGCACUGCAAGAGAGUCCCCAAAGUGAAUCAUGAUGGAAAGGGACCCUCUGGACAUGAC